rnacentral:rRNA from 1 species
GACUCGUCACACUAUCAUUAACUGAAUCCAUAGGUUAAUGAGGCGAACCGGGGGAACUGAAACAUCUAAGUACCCCGAGGAAAAGAAAUCAACCGAGAUUCCCCCAGUAGCGGCGAGCGAACGGGGAGGAGCCCAGAGCCUGAAUCAGCAUGUGUGUUAGUGGAAGCGUCUGGAAAGGCGCGCGAUACAGGGUGACAGCCCCGUACACAAAAGCGCAUGUGCUGUGAGCUCGAUGAGUAGGGCGG